rnacentral:pre_miRNA from 15 species
UAUCGGAGAUAGCUUUUGUGUCACUUCCUCAUGCUGACAUAUUUACUAGAGGGUGAAAUUAAUAACCUUCUAGUAAGAGUGGCAGUCGAAGGGAAGGGCUCAUCUGACUUCUGGAAACCUA